AUGAAGGGAAUUUUAUAUAAGGAGAUAUUAAAACAAGGGAUCUCAGUGAAGUGUAUACAGAGUGAGGAUGGAGAGUGGUUCACUCCCCAUGAAUUUGAAAUCAGAGGAGGCUAUGCAAGAUCAAAGAACUGGAAAUUGAGUGUGCGCUGCCACAAGAUACCCCUGAAACGGCUGAUCGAGAGAAAAUGUUUACCUGACCCUUCAGGAAAAUGUCGCAGGAAAUUACAG